rnacentral:rRNA from 1 species
GAGGCGGCCGCGAUCACUAGUGAUGGUAGCCGGCUGAGAGGGUGACGCACACUGGACUGAGACACGCCAGACUCCUACGGAGGCAGCAGUGGGGGAAUAUUGGACAAUGGCGAAAGCCUGAUCCAGCAACGCCGCGUGAGGGAUGACGGCCUUUCGGGUUGUAAACCUCUUUCAGCAGGGACGAAGCGCAAGUGACGGUACCUGCAGAAGAAGCACCGGCCAACUACGUGCCAGCAGCCGCGGUAAUACGUAGGGUGCAAGCGUUGUCCGGAAUUAUUGGGCGUAAAGGGCUCGUAGGCGGUCCAUCGCGUCGGGAGUGAAAAGCUGGGGCUUAACCCCAGUCCUGCUUUCGAUACGGGUGGACUAGAGGUAGGCAGGGGAGAACGGAAUUCCUGGUGUAGCGGUGAAAUGCGCAGAUAUCAGGAGGAACACCGGUGGCGAAGGCGGUUCUCUGGGCCUUACCUGACGCUGAGGAGCGAAAGCAUGGGGAGCAAACAGGAUUAGAUACCCUGGUAGUCCAUGCCGUAAACGUUGGGCGCUAGGUGUGGGACUCAUUCCACGAGUUCCGUGCCGCAGCUAACGCAUUAAGCGCCCCGCCUGGGGAGUACGGCCGCAAGGCUAAAACUCAAAGGAAUUGACGGGGGCCCGCACAAGCGGCGGAGCAUGCGGAUUAAUUCGAUGCAACGCGAAGAACCUUACCUGGAUUUGACAUAUAGGGAAAACUGUCAGAGAUGGCAGGUCCGUAAGGGCCCUAUACAGGUGGUGCAUGGCUGUCGUCAGCUCGUGUCGUGAGAUGUUGGGUUAAGUCCCGCAACGAGCGCAACCCUCGUCCUAUGUUGCCAGCAAGUAAUGUUGGGGACUCAUAGGAGACUGCCGGGGUAACUCGGAGGAAGGUGGGGAUGAGGUCAAGUCAUCAUGCCCCUUAUGUCCAGGGCUUCACGCAUGCUACAAUGGCCGGUACAAAGGGCUGCGAAACCGCAAGGUGGAGCGAAUCCCAAAAAGCCGGUCUCAGUUCGGAUUGGGGUCUGCAACUCGACCCCAUGAAGUCGGAGUCGCUAGUAAUCGCUAUCA